rnacentral:rRNA from 1 species
GAUGAACGCUGGCGGCGUGCCUAAUACAUGCCAGUCGAGCGAACAGACGAGGAGCUUGCUCCUCUGACGUUAGCGGCGGACGGGUGAGUAACACGUGGAUAACCUACCUAUAAGACUGGGAUAACUUCGGGAAACCGGAGCUAAUACCGGAUAAUAUAUUGAACCGCAUGGUUCAAUAGUGAAAGACGGUUUUGCUGUCACUUAUAGAUGGAUCCGCGCCGCAUUAGCUAGUUGGUAAGGUAACGGCUUACCAAGGCAACGAUGCGUAGCCGACCUGAGAGGGUGAUCGGCCACACUGGAACUGAGACACGGUCCAGACUCCUACGGGAGGCAGCAGUGGGGAAUUUUGCGCAAUGGGCGAAAGCUUGACGGAGCAACGCCGCGUGAGUGAUGAAGGUCUUCGGAUCGUAAAACUCUGUUAUUAGGGAAGAACAAAUGUGUAAGUAACUAUGCACGUCUUGACGGUACCUAAUCAGAAAGCCACGGCUAACUACGUG